rnacentral:rRNA from 1 species
UACGUAGGUGGCAAGCGUUGUCCGGAUUUAUUGGGUUUAAAGGGUGCGUAGGCGGCCCUGUAAGUCAGCGCUGAAAUAUCCCGGCUUAACCGGGAGGGUGGCAUUGAUACUGCAGGGCUUGAGUAAAGUUGAGGUUGGCGGAAUUGACGGUGUAGCGGUGAAAUGCUUAGAUAUCAUCAAGAACACCGAUAGUGAAGACAGCUAACUAAGCUUUAACUGACGCUGAGGCACGAAAGUGUGGGGAUCAAACAGG